rnacentral:misc_RNA from 1 species
GAAAUGCGAUAAUUAAUGUGAAUUGCAGAAUUCAGUGAAUCAUCGAGUCUUUGAACGCACAUUGCGCCCCCUGGUAUUCCGGGGGGCAUGCCUGUCCGAGCGUCAUUGCUGCCCUCAAGCACGGCUUGUGUGUUGGGCUUCCGUCCCUGGCAACGGGGACGGGGCCAAAAGGCAGUGGCGGCACCAUGUCUGGUCCUCGAGCGUAUGGGGCUUUGUCACCCGCUCCCGUAGGUCCAGCUGGCAGCUAGCCUCGCAACCAAUCUUUUUAACCAGGUUGACCUCGGAUCAGGUAGGGAUACCCGCUGAACUUAAGC